rnacentral:rRNA from 1 species
UGGGGAAUAUUGCACAAUGGGCGCAAGCCUGAUGCAGCAAUGCCGCGUGAGUGAAGACGGCCUUAGGGUUGUAAAACUCUUUCGCUAGGGAAGAUAAUGACGGUACCUAGUAAAGAAGCCCCGGCUAACUCCGUGCCAGCAGCCGCGGUAAUACGGAGGGGGCUAGCGUUGUUCGGAAUUACUGGGCGUAAAGCGCGCGUAGGCGGACUGAUCAGUCAGGGGUGAAAUCCCGGGGCUCAACCCCGGAACUGCCUUUGAUACUGUCAGUCUUGAGUCCGGAAGAGGCGAGUGGAAUACCGAGUGUAGAGGUGAAAUUCGUAGAUAUCAGGAGGAACACCGGUGGCGAAGGCGGCUACCUGGACCGGUUCUGACGCUGAGGCGCGAAAGCGUGGGGAGCAAAACAGGAUUAGAUACCCUGGUAGUCCACGCUGUAAACGAUGGGUGCUAGAUGUUGGGAUUUUCGGAUUUCAGUGUCGCAGCUAACGCAUUAAGCACUCCGCCUGGGAGUACGGCCGCAAGGUUAAAACUCAAAGGAAUUGA